UACAGAGGGUGCGAACGUUGCUCGGAAUUACUGGGCGUAAAGCGUGCGCAGGCGGUUUUGUAAGCCAGAUGUGAAAUCCCCGGGCUUAACCUGGGAAUGGCAUUUGGGACUGCAAGGCUCGAGUGCGGCAGAGGAGACUGGAAUUCCUGGUGUAGCAGUGAAAUGCGUAGAUAUCAGGAGGAACACCGGUGGCGAAGGCGGGACUCUGGGCCGAUACUGACGCUGAGGAGCGAAAGCGUGGGGAGCAAACAGG
rnacentral:rRNA from 1 species